CCACGGGAAAGGGUCCAAGGAUGUCCAUCCCCCAUUGCGCAAAAGGCCAUGGGGCACUCAAGGGUGUAAGCUCGGUGGCGGGCUGUCUCUGGAUAUUGGCAUAUCUCUGGCAUCGGUCACACUUUCUGACGUAUUUAAUCGAGUCAUGAUGCAUCAUCGGCCAGUAAUAUCCUUGGCGGAGCAACUUGUGGGAUAAAGAUCUAGCCCCCAGAUGGCUUCCGUAGAUUCCUUCAUACACCUCCCAUAAGGCGUAGUCAGCUUCCGAAGGCCGGAGGCAUUUUAAAAGGGGCAAAGAGUAUGAUCUCUUGUACAACUUGUCCUUAUAAAGGAUGUAUCGGGAGGCUUGAUUUCAGAGCUUCCGAGCUUCUUUCGCAUCCUGGGGGAGAACCCCGUCUCUGAGAUAUGUUAUCAGUGGGUCGAUCCAGCUGGGCUCGUGGUCAAUUUCCAACACGGGCCGCGAUUCUUCCAUACUCGGGCACUUAAGCACUUCAAAAAGAACACCCUUGGGUAAUUCGGCCGGAGCCAGCAUUGCCAGCUUGGAGAGAAGGUCGGCCCUGGUAUUUUCUAUCCUCGAAAUCUGUCUGAUGUUGAAGCUGCUGAAGGCGGAGACGAG
rnacentral:lncRNA from 1 species